GCGUAGGUGGUAGAGUGGUCAAUUACAACAGACUGUAAAUCUGUCGCCUUCGGGCUUCGCAGGUUCAAAUCCUGCCCUACGCA
rnacentral:tRNA from 1 species